rnacentral:rRNA from 1 species
ACUCCUACGGGAGGCAGCAGUGGGGAAUAUUGGACAAUGGGCGAAAGCCUGAUCCAGCAACGCCGCGUGAGGGAUGACGGCCUUCGGGUUGUAAACCUCUUUCAGCGCAGACGAAGCGAAAGUGACGGUAUGCGCAGAAGAAGCACCGGCCAACUACGUGCCAGCAGCCGCGGUAAUACGUAGGGUGCGAGCGUUGUCCGGAAUUAUUGGGCGUAAAGGGCUCGUAGGCGGUCUGUUGCGUCAGGAGUGAAAACUCGGGGCUUAACCCCGAGCCUGCUUCUGAUACGGGCAGACUAGAGGUAUGCAGGGGAGAACGGAAUUCCUGGUGUAGCGGUGAAAUGCGCAGAUAUCAGGAGGAACACCGGUGGCGAAGGCGGUUCUCUGGGCAUUACCUGACGCUGAGGAGCGAAAGUGUGGGGGAGCGAACAGGAUUAGAUACCCUGGUAGUCCACACCCGUAAACGUUGGGCGCUAGGUGUGGGACUCAUUCCACGAGUUCCGUGCCGCAGCUAACGCAUUAAGCGCCCCGCCUGGGGAGUAC